rnacentral:rRNA from 1 species
UGCAGUCGAGCGGACAGAAGGGAGCUUGCUCCCGGAUGUUAGCGGCGGACGGGUGAGUAACACGUGGGUAACCUGCCUGUAAGACUGGGAUAACUCCGGGAAACCGGAGCUAAUACCGGAUAGUUCCUUGAACCGCAUGGUUCAAGGAUGAAAGACGGUUUCGGCUGUCACUUACAGAUGGACCCGCGGCGCAUUAGCUAGUUGGUGGGGUAAUGGCUCACCAAGGCGACGAUGCGUAGCCGACCUGAGAGGGUGAUCGGCCACACUGGGACUGAGACACGGCCCAGACUCCUACGGGAGGCAGCAGUAGGGAAUCUUCCGCAAUGGACGAAAGUCUGACGGAGCAACGCCGCGUGAGUGAUGAAGGUUUUCGGAUCGUAAAGCUCUGUUGUUAGGGAAGAACAAGUGCGAGAGUAACUGCUCGCACCUUGACGGUACCUAACCAGAAAGCCACGGCUAACUACGUGCCAGCAGCCGCGGUAAUACGUAGGUGGCAAGCGUUGUCCGGAAUUAUUGGGCGUAAAGGGCUCGCAGGCGGUUUCUUAAGUCUGAUGUGAAAGCCCCCGGCUCAACCGGGGAGGGUCAUUGGAAACUGGGAAACUUGAGUGCAGAAGAGGAGAGUGGAAUUCCACGUGUAGCGGUGAAAUGCGUAGAGAUGUGGAGGAACACCAGUGGCGAAAGCGACUCUCUGGUCUGUAACUGACGCUGAGGAGCGAAAGCGUGGGGAGCGAACAGGAUUAGA